UACAGAGGUCCCGAGCGUUGUUCGGAUUCAUUGGGCGUAAAGGGUGCGUAGGUGGCGCUGUAAGUGGGGUGUGAAAUCCCGGGGCUUAACUCCGGAACUGCAUUCCAUACUGCGGUGCUUGAGGACUGGAGAGGAGACUGGAAUUUACGGUGUAGCAGUGAAAUGCGUAGAGAUCGUAAGGAAGACCAGUGGCGAAGGCGGGAUCCUGGGCCAGUACUGACGCUGAGGAGCGAAAGCGUGGGGAGCAAACAGG
rnacentral:rRNA from 1 species